rnacentral:misc_RNA from 1 species
AAGUCGUAACAAGGUUUCCGUAGGUGAACCUGCGGAAGGAUCAUUCUUGAUUAUAUAGCUAUUGCUAUCAUUUAAUAUGUGCACUGUUACCGCCAGUUGGCGGCCGAAAGGUCGUCGCUUGGCAUCACUUCAAUUUACUAGUAACUUAAUGUAACUGUAAUCAUAAAACUUUAUGACAACUUUUAGCAAUGGAUCUCUAGGCUCUC